CCCGUGUAUACAUGUGUGAACCAUUUCUUGUGUUGGAAAAACAGGAGACCUGAAGAGCUCUUGAUGCUUUUGGUUUGCCUCAUCCAUUAUGUCAGCAAAGAACAGGAGUGGGCAGGAAACAUGCGCUGUUGAAAACAUGGCCAACCAACUGGAGCACCCACAAGGCUCUUGUGAAGGAAGUCCACAAGCCUUUGUGCUUCAGGAUGGAUGGAAAGAACUCUUUGAUCAACCCCCACAGAGAGCUGAGGUGGCUAUCUUUUGGAGACACCCCCGGCUGGUAGUGCUGCUGAAACUGGUGGAGGCAACAAUGAAGCGGCAACAGAAAGAGAAGGCAGGUGGCAAAUGUUGCUGCUAUUGAACAAUACUUUGAGAGUGAGUAUGUGUGCAUGUAUGUAGCUGGGUAGGUCAUGGUACAUGGUACAAAAAUACAGAAUUUAAAGCACUAGCACAACACUUAACUCACAACCCACAACUACUGACAAUGGAAUUACUCUUUUAGAGUGAGUGAGUGAGGGAGAGAGAUAGAAUAUUUCUGUAAAUGUUUAAUGUUAAUUUAGAAUAAUUUAUUUCUUUGAAUCAUUAUACAGUUUUAAAAUGUUUAAUUGUUUGUGUUUUUGUAUAUGAAAGAUGUCGAUUG